GUUCUGGAGGCUGGAAGUCCAAGAUCAAGGUGCUAUCAGGGUUGGUUUCGGCUGUGGCCUCUCUUCCUGGCUUGUAGACAGCUAUCUUCUCGCAGUGUCCUCACGUGGCCUCUUUGUGUGAAGGUUUUGGCAAACGUCUAAUGACACAGAGCCACCAUUGCCAAUUUCACCACUGUCUUUCACCAAGUUGAUUCAUUUUGAACUGGCUCCAGCAAUCUACUCAGAGUUGACCUCAGAGCAAAAAAUUGAAGUGGGAAGCUGCUAAAGAAUGUGCUUGACUAAAACAAGGCAAUAAGCAAAAGGAAGUCAUAGCAUCCAGAAAAUGGGAUCCAUCAUGCGCACAAAGAAAAGGUGAAGAAAAUUUCCAGGAUGUUCAGAACCCACCAAAAACGAAAGAUUCUGGUCCAGAUCAGAAGAGAGGGAAACACUCUGAAAAAGUCCCUCAAAUACAAAAUUAAACAGAGUUUAAAUGAUGUGCUUGACCACAAUAAAAGGCUUCUUGCUCUGUAAGAUUUCUGGAAUUAAUUAGUGAUAAGCAAAGAUAAAUAUAAGCAAAUCAUCACAACAGAGUGAACACAUUCCAGUAGACCACAUGGAUGAGCUUUGGAAAAUACAGAUAUACGCAUAAUGUAAUCCCUUAAUUUCUGGGAGGCUGGAGGGAGGGAAAGUUUGAGAAGGUAAAAUGUGUGUGUUAAGAGUGGGAGUGGGUAAUAUGGUUAGGCUUUGUGUUCCCACACAAAUCUCAUCUGGAAUUGUAAUCCCCAUAAUCCCCACUUAUCAAGGGAGAAACCAGGUGGAGAUAACUGAAUCAUUGGAGGCAGUUUCCCCCAUGCUAUUCCUCUGAUAGUGAAUUCUCAUGAGAUCCAAUGAUUUUAUAACGGACUCUUCCCCCUUCACUCAGC
rnacentral:lncRNA from 1 species